rfam:Medicago truncatula strain A17 chromosome 7, whole genome shotgun sequence.
AAACAACCCUCUAUGUAUUGGAUAUUUGGCAGUUUUGGCCCUCAAGACCACUUUUAAAUUAGUCUUCGAUGACGUGACACCCACAAUGGUCGACACAGGCACCUCACUUAAGGGAUGUGGGUGCCACGUCAGCAAAGAGUAAGUCAAAAGUGGUCUUGAGGGCCAAAGCUGCCAAAGAUCCAAUACGUAAGGGCUGUUU